UAACACGUGAGUAACCUGCCCUUCACUCUGGGAUAACUCCGGGAAACCGGGGCUAAUACUGGAUAUGACUCGAACAGGCAUCUGUAUCGGGUGGAAAGAUUUAUUGGUGGAGGAUGGACUCGCGGCCUAUCAGCUUGUUGGUGAGGUAAUGGCUCACCAAGGCGACGACGGGUAGCCGGCCUGAGAGGGCGAUCGGCCACACUGGGACUGAGACACGGCCCAG
rnacentral:rRNA from 1 species